CAUGCAGGUACAUGAACGUUAAUUUGAGCAAAAAGAAGGGGAAAACUGCUUCUUUUCAGGAGCAGCUCCAAAUUAUGUCCCAAAGAAUGAUGAUGGAAAUCAGAUUUCUGUAAGAAAAAAAGACUCGGGUCUCCAAAACUCUUCCAGUCACUGACUCUAUGCAAGACUGCACCCCAAAUUCCUCAGGUGAAAUUAUUUUGAAAUGUGCCAUUCAACAGUAGAUGCUAGUAUAAUAAACAAGAAUGCAAGAAAAAUCUUACAGCUUUAUGCCGUACUCUCUGUUGUAAGUGCCUGAGCAACUUUUAGUCUUCGGAGUUUUCCAUCUGACUGUGACACUCAUGGAUUGGGAAGAGCUGCUGUGUUUGUUCAAAAGCUCUAGCUAUCAUACAGACUUCCUGACUGAAGAACAAAAGUAAGGGGCCAGUGCCAGCUUUAUUUCAACUGCGUGUAAUCAGCUUGAAGUUACUUUCCAAUGUGCACUGGGAAGUUCAGCAGAACAGGAAAUUGAAAUGAGCUUUCCCACCUUAAAUAUUGAUGAAUGUUUUUUCUUUCCCAGGAUUAUACUUCUCCCAGAUUUGAACCUUAAAUACCACGUGAGGAUUUUUAGUUUUCUCCAAAUGCACUGAGAUCUAAAGAAAAAGUGAGCAGAGACUCUUUGCUGUUAGUAGUAGUGAGAAUUACAUCAUCCUUUUAGAGUAGAUCUUCCUUCAUGGGACAAAUAUAAGGCAAGCGGCAGAGGACAAUCCAACACGUGCACUGGCUGUGACAGGAGAGCUCAGAUGAAUAGAACUGGCUAAUAGCUCUUGUUCUGAGUGAGAGGAAGGGGAGAUCUGCUUUCGUAAAAGCAAUAGUUUCCUUCCUGUUUUCUGUUUUAUAUCUCUAAGGAGACCACAUAUCACAAUAGGCUAAAAGUGACUUUACAGCAAAAUGAAACUUUUGCUUGGGUAGAUAAGACAGAAUGCAGAAAAUGCAAAUAUAUUUUAAAAUGUUUCAUAAAUAUAAUCACAUUUGCGUUACUUGUACAAAAACAAUGUAUUUUAUCUUUCAGCUGUUCACUUAAAUAUUCCUUGGACUCUGAAGACAUUUUUCAUGUAAAGCAACACAGAUUCAUGAUGUAUCAUGUUUCAAGUGUCCAGUUUGGGGGAAGUAGAGCUUGUUUCUUACAGGGAUAGAAAUAUACUUAAUUUCUAAAAAGCAGCAUUACAACAUGGAACUACAUUGAGAUUUAUUUUGUUUGAAUAUAUUUUGAAGUUCAAAACAAGAUCCCCUUCUAUUACUACAAUGAGAUUGAUAUUUAGAGAAAGUUUUACAAAUAUAGGGCCAUUUAUGGUCAACCCUUUUUCCAGGAAUACAAAGAAAGGUGAGACACUAGACUUCUGCCAUUUUGUGUUGCCCACAAAAUUGCCAAGUGCCACUCGCAGUCUGGAAAUAUGAGGAAUCAUUUGUCAAUGGUUGUCUUUCCUUCUGCAAAAGCCUCAUCUCCCCUUGUCACUAGCUAAUACCAGCCAUCCUUAAUAAUGUUCGAUGCGCACAAAUUUAUCAAUGACCAAUGGAUUUGCCUAAACCUCAGGGUCCCAGUCGAAUUCCGAGAGGACAUGCUUCUGCAUAUCUUUUUGUCCCACCAUAAUGCAGCCUAUAGGCAGAUGAUGCAAUUGAACAGUGGUAUUUCUAUGUUUAAAAUAUUUAAUUAAUUAGUUAAAUUCUGCUUUUGGGGAUUCAGCAACAUGAAAGAUCAGUAAAAACAAGCAGAAAGUUAAAUGGAGUAUAGUAUGACAAACAAAGGAAUUAAUGAGAGAUGAACUUUUCAGAUAAACUGGUUCAAAAUAUACUGUUUUUCGUGAACAAGCACAAGUCACUUUAGAACAACAAGUACAAUGUAGACCUUCAGACUGCCUGAAAAGUGCUGAAAUUUGCAGGUCUGGCAGUGACAGGUUUUGAGCAGAAAAAAAUCAUGGGGUUUUUAUUCCUACUAGGAGGGCAUUUAAAUUUUUACUUUAAAAAAAUGGAUGCUUUUCUAAAUUCCUGAUAAAAAAAAUUCCAGCCUUUGGGCUCGUUUCAGUGCUACUUAAAAGAAUGACCAGAAUUCAGUUAGCAGUCUGUUCAAUAACUUCUCCUAGUCAGGAAAGCUUUCGUUGCUGAUCCAAGAUUACCUUAUCUUGGGUGGCAAAAAGUCUGUAUUUUAAAAAUUAUUCUGCCUCCCAGGACUUCAAAGAGUUUCCUCCUGUCUGUGACUAAUGUUAGCUAAAACAACACACAAAGGUAUUCUUCUAUCACUUACAACAAAUAAUCAGAAGACAGCUCUAAUAUGAAAUGUCUUACCUAGCUUCAACAAGAACAAGAAAAAAUCACAUCGCUCCAUACUUGAGUCAACUAUAGCUACAAAUAUAGCUACUUCUAUAAAGUCUAGGUAGCAAAAUUUAGGAGGAAGACUGUUGUUCUAUGUCCUAUGGUUUUUAGAAAAAUAUAUAAACCAUAUAAUUGCUUAGAAGCGUAACGGUACUCUAUAGCAGUUCACACAUAUUUUGCAAAAGCUGGGAGUUAUUAUAAAUAUAUCUAGGUUAAUUAACUGCCAUUAUAGUGGUUUUAUGCAUUUAAAAGGAGAAGUAGCUUUUUGGCACACUGCAAAUGACAUAUUAUUCAGGAUGACAAAUCAUAGUAAAGUCAAUGGCAUAAGCUGCUGGAUUUUAGUGCCUGCUCCAUGUAUUGCUGUUUCCUAAAUUGCUCCUUACUGCUCCAAGAGAUAGAGAGAUCAGGGAACUCCCAAGCUGGGAGGAUGAGAACCACCCCAGCUCCUGAGCAGCUGGUUAGACACAUUCUCAGCCAACUCUGCUGGAGGAGGUUGAAGUACCCAAUGAUUGCUACUGGCACAAACCUAAGCUGGCAGUAUGAACCCUUCCUUCACUCUUCCAUGCUUUAGUGCAAGAGAUCUUUAUGUGAAUGAAAGUUCUCCAUCUCAUCUCUACUCACUUCCAUAUGUGCAAAUGCCCAAUACAGCCCUGGGCCAUAGAAAAAGCUUCAGUCUUUGGUCACUCUCAGUCCAGCCCCAUUCUAUUGCUUUGAGAAUGCCCUAGGCUAAAAUAAAUAAAUAACCAGAUAAAUGGAUGACAGCUGGUAUUAACAGUCCUGAUUUGCUUUCCUCUCCUUUCGAGUAAUGAAUCACUAGUGAAAGAGUGAGGGAGGGAAUCCAAAGGGAAUCCAAAACAUGCUUUCUCUUUCAUAUCUGAGUCUGCAGUAGCCAUCCAUGCUCCAAAAGGGGAGAAAACUGGGCUGCAUUUUAAUAUUCAUUUUCACAAAGCUGAGUCAGAACUGCCUGUAAGCGCAAAGGGAUUUUUAAGGAAAAACAGGACUCCCCUCACAUCUCACUAGUGUAGUGAGAAUGUAUAAAUAGUUGCACAAGGCAGAUAGUUUGUGUCAACACGGUAUUACAUUUGUGAGCAUCUGGGUAGCAACUGCUGGACACAAGAGAGCAUUUGCUAGCAAAAUAUUAUGCUAUUGCCUACAAAGUGGUGUGUUACCCAAAACCUCUGCAAGGUGCUGUUCAAAUCUGCCACACAGAAAGGGGUGCCCAGGGUAAGAGUUUAUUAAACAUCACCAAGAUUAUUUGAGAAGAGAGAACUUUUUAUGUUCUAAUUGUGGUACCUGGCUUUAUGCUCUGAGCUUUUCUGAUGGUCUCUACUGUCUAAGAACCUGGACAGGUCCUCACCUUGGCCUGGCCAGUCCCUGGCAUGGGUGGACAAAACUGCAUGCCAAAUUUUGGGAACACAGCGACAGACCUCUCUUCCCUGAUUAAAUUUCCCUCUUUCCUCCACACAAUUUUCUCACUGUGCCAUCUGACUUCAGAUGCUUGAUCUGGUGCACUGCAAGUCCCUUUUUUCCUGGAAGCCCUGAGAAAUGCUGUGGGUGCAUGAGGACAGAUUCUUCCCGGGGGAGUGCAUCUGAUGAAGGAAGCUUUUAGCUAACCUAAAAUUGCCAGUGUAUCAAAAAGCAGGCAUGAGCAUGGCCAGAAGUCACAAACACACUUGGGAGCUGGGGCAAGAUUCUCCCCAGUGCUGGCUCUCCCUAAAAGCCCGAAUUUGUUGACAUAAACACCAGAGAAGGGGAACACUGAUCUGAGAUGCAAGACACUGGAGAGACACGAAGGAAGAAAGUCUAUUUUUAAUCUAAUUUGCCAAGUCACAUAUCUCCAACUUUCAACUCCACACAUCUCACAGAAUUCCCACUCCUCUCUUUUGUUUCCCAUUUACCACAGGUAACAGUUCACCAGGAACCUCAUAUCAUGAUAUUUUUGACUGUGUGUUUUUUUGAAUUAUGUAUUUAACCAGCAGGAUUACUUCCACAAAAAAUUGUAGAUGGCUGUUACAAUUCCCAACCACAGUUUGUCUUCAAGGAAAAAAAUUGUAGCUGAAUGGAGUCUUAUUUAAUUUUUGAAAUUUUAAAAGACUACAGAGGCCUCUGCAUAACGACCUUUCUACUGCUGUGAACCUAAAGCCUAGGUUAUUAUUAAAAUAAGUAGCUAACUAGGACAUCAGUCUACCAAAACCCACCAACAAGUUGCUUUCAAGAAACUAAAGAAAACAGGUGAAAUAGUCUUUGGCAGACUUGUAGCUUUUACAUAUUUUCACUGGAGUAGUCUGGAUUGCAGUGAACAUAUUUCUUCCCUGGUUUUAUGUCACUCAAUCCAGUCUCUCAUGAGUACAUUUAGGAAAUGAUAGAUAUUAAAUAAUUCCUUUCUGCACAGUGGCAGGUCUAUCUUUAAUUCACGUAUAAACACAACAUUUCCUCAAAAUCAUUCUUAUCCUGCAUUAAAAAAAAAAAAAAAAAAAAAAAAGAUCAAAUGGAUCAAGCUAUACAAAGAGACCAUAAAAAAUUUUAUUUAAAUACAUGUCUCUUACCUAAGUGUCUUUUUUCUUUAGAGUGAUUUUCUUCUCAGCUUCCUGCAUUUUCUACCACCCUGUUACAUUUUAAGAAAGAAAUUACAGGCUUCAAGCUUCUCCUCUGUUACACCAUAAAAACUUUGGAAAAAUUACUAUUUCAAAGUUAUUUCUUUUAAUUUUGUGUACAUUAUUUUAAAUGUAAAAUGAGUCUUUGGUGCUCCAUCACUUAAACUGAAAAGAUAUUUUGGCAAUGAAGAAUUUUGUACUUCACUAAUACACCAGCAGUGUUGAGAACAUGUCUCAAAAAGUGUGAACAGUACUUAUAAAGCUGUGUAACUCUCCUCAAAUGACACAACAGCAUUUUAUGUGGCUGAAAAUGAAAGAGUAUGUAUGAGGUUGAUCCUGAAUACUAUUCCAACACCAUAUUUAAACAAACUCUGCUUGUUUGCAAUUUCCAUUACUUUAUGUGUUUUUUUAGUUCAGUUCUGUCAUAAAUGCACUUUGUAAAACAUUCAUCUUAAUUGUAUGCAACCAACUGAAUGUUGUUGUAUCUUUCCUCAAGUUUUUAUGUAUCUCUGCAUUCCAGUCAACUGGCAACCCAAGUUGUAGUGUAAAACCCCCAACCAACGCUCUUGACUUCCACAGGGUCCGUAAUUCUUUCCAAGGCUUUUCACUUCAGAGACUCGUUUGAAGAAUACUGAAGACCAUUUUUAUACUUCACUCACAUGCAGAAAGAAGAAAUCUUUUUCUGAGCAAGUAAGGAAGCCUCUAAAACAAAUCAAAGAUGUGGACACUGAGCACAGAAGACUAAUUAACUUAAGGCAAGUAACCCAGGAAAAUGAAUGCUGAAUUCGGGGUAGUUCAAAGACUUCAAGGAUAAUAGUUUAAAAUGAAACAUUUAUGGCCUUGAAUAGUUAAGACCUUGUGAAUUACUGUAUUUUAUUCAGAAGGCAUGAAACAUUAAAGGUGAGAGGAAUAGAAAUAAGUCUGUAUGUACAAAGUGAUGGGAAGGAGAAAGGAAGAGCUCUCAUGGAAGAUUCCUCAAGAUCCUCAAAGUCUGCUCAGGAGAUAGUGACCACUACUACUGCACUAUGAACAGGGGCAUGGAUGCAGGGAGGUUGUCGAAGGAACAUGUGCAGGGGUUCCAGGCAUGCUGGAUUCCCCCUUAGGUGGUGUGUCUGGUGGAUGCUGCACCUGUGGCAGGGUCUUCAUGUCCCAUGUUUGUAAGUAGCUUCUUUAUAGUGUUGCUAAAUUCAGUGUUCACUACUCAGAAACGGAGAAGAAGGUUCUGAAUCACUGAUGUAAAGUGGCACUGUAAAGGAAAUGUGAUCCUAGAACAAACCAGGAAGAUUUUUGCUGGAUAAAUAAAGCUUUAGUACCUCAGUAUAAGAUGCUUACGUGACCCUGUCAGAAAUAAUAAUGAUCAGCUUUUAAAUGGGUGUUUCAGAAGGACAAACUGAAACGUGGAACAUCUGUCCAAAAGGGCCAUUGAAAUGACAGGGCUACUUGUAUUGCAGAAGGAAGUCCAGAGUUUUCAAAGAGAGACAGGAAACUCUGAUAAGGUGUCACUAGAAAACACCAAAGCAAAAAAGAGAUGUUGCUGCUGAAGGACAAAAGGGGUGGGUAUCCACAGGUUUUUAGUAGAUGUACCCACGAAAGUAGAGGUUUUCUAGCAAAGUGGAACAGCUGCAAUGGAAGACUGUAAGAGGGACAAACAGAAUAGUUGUUAAGAAAAAGGGAGUAAAACAGCAGUUUUAACAUCCCUUUCCUCAGUGUUUGCUGGUUUGGGCUAUAUUUCUCAUUCUUUGAUUAAACUUUGAAAAUAUUGGAAACCCGUCUUUUAUCAUCUUCAACUAUAUUGUCUACUGAAAGAGAGUGUUGACUCGGAAAGCUAUAGGCAGGAGCAGAGUGAGGUGUUUUAUUUCUAUACAUCUUGAAGAUUUCGGCACUAUGUCUUGGUGGUAGAAGAAAAAUAAAACCUAAUUAGUGAUAGCAAUAAUGUUAUAAUAAAUAUGGUACAAAACUGAGAAGCAUACUUUAACAUAAGAACCUACAAACACUUUUGAUGAAUGUUAGUCUGGCAACAACAGUAACAUCUAUUGCACAGGUAUUUAAAUACCACCACUGUCAGGUUUUUGGAAAGAGCUGUCUUCACAGAAAAUUGUAUUUUAUUAGAAUAAAUAAUGUAUAUUGAUUCCAUUUGAAACAUACAUAUGAAAUCUGCCUUUUUUUUUCCAGGCAACCUCACUAAGUCAGCUCAUUAUGGUUAAGGAAAAGAGAUAAUAUUAAAAUAUGUUGGGUUUUGAAAGUGGGAUCCAGAGCCACGUGUUCAGCAUCUGGAUGGGAAGAGAAGCAUGUCCAAGCCUGUCAUGCUCAGGAGCCAUGGGCAAAAGGAGAGGUGCCUGAACAGGUUGAGGAAAAGAGGCUCUUGCUGAGUCUUCAGUCUUAAACGACAGGGUGGGAUUUUGUGAGAAAUCAGGCAGCUGGAAGCCAAAUGUUUAAUAGAAUAGGUAAAAUGUAUUCCAGCCCUGAAGCAAUCUCUUGCACUGUUGAGGAGGGUAAUGAAGAAGAAUGAAAUGGGGGUAGAAAGCAGUCAACUAAUAAAAAGGCUCCUUUCAGGAACUGGAAGGCCACAAUUAGGUAACCCCGAAGCCUUCUCUUCUCCAGGGUGAACAAUCCCAAUUCUCUCAGCCUUUCCUAAUAGAGGAGAUGCUCUAUACCUCUAAUCAUCUUGGUGGCCCACCUCUGGAAUCGCUCCAACAGAUCAAUGUACUUCCUAUUCUGGGCACCUCAGAGCUGGAUUCGAGGGAGAGUCUCAGGAGAGCGGAGAAGAGGAGCAGAAUGAUAUUCUCGACCUGCUGGCCACGCUGCAUUUGACACAGCCCAGAACAUGGUUGUCUUUCAGGUUGCAAGUGCACGUUGCUGGGUCAUGUCCAGCCUCUCUUUUGUUAUGCAGCUGCAAAUGUUAAAAACAUGCUAAGUGAAAUACAUAUUUUGUCUGGGCAUCCUUAAAAAAAAGAAAAAAAUAGAAUAUAUAAAGCCAUUGUAGGAAAUGUUUUGCCUCUAUUUUAAGGUUUUCAGAAGGUGGUGCAGUGUCAUGGCUCCAGUGCUACUCUUUUGAAACAUCAAAUUAUUCUUAUAUGAAGGAGCCUGCCUCUUUGAAACUGGAGAUUUCUAACUUCAGCUUACAUGUCCUGGAUUUUGAUGGAGGUAGGAGUGGAGAAGAAGGGAAUAUUUUCUGUCUUGGUUACCCCUUAGAGGAGAUUGGGAUAACAUUCUCAGCAGUUGCAUGUUUUACCUUCUUCUUGGUUAGAUCACAGGUAUUACUGAGUGUUGGGUUUGGGAGGGAGGGAGGUGUUUGUUUUUUUGACUAAGUUUUUUAUUAUUACCCAGAUAUAUUAUUGGAACGUUCUCAUGGGUUUGUGGGUGAAGCAAUGUAGUUUGGAGUAAAAAACUAUAUGCUUACUGAGUCCCUUUUAAAGUCUGAGUGUAUGCUGUCAAAAUGUGCAGAUUUGAAAAUGUUUAAUUUUAGUUGAUAAACGUUUCACAGCUCCCUUUGCUAAAAUUGGCAACCUACCUACCACAUCAUAUAUGAUGGAACUAUUACCCAGGGCUGGGUCUUGAACCACUUGCCUCUGCAUUAUUGUUUAUAAUCAACAUUUAAUAAUAGCUAUGUGUCUAAAUGAAGCUUUUUUAUUCCUCAGAUAAGAGGAUCUUUUCAUGAUUUUUAACAAAAGUAACCAAGGAUAUUUGAUUAUUCCCUUAAACAACUUCAUCAGCCAUCUCUAUGACUAACACUUACUAUAUGUUCUAUUGUGUUUAUCAUUUGCUUUCCGUUAUUAAUGCAAUAUUGGAGUUAGUUCUCCUUUAAGUCGAAUAGAUUGUUACCCAGUGUAACUUCCCAUUCCCCAGCUCUUUCUAAGAGUUUAAAAGUGUCUCAGUGUGGUGUUUCAUCACAGAUGUGCUCACAGCUCUUUGGACUGCUUUGGACUAGUCUUUACAAGGAAGCUGCAUGCAGUUUCCUAAGUGAGGUUUUUCCCAUUUUUCCCAGAGAAACAAAAAAAAAAAAAAACAAAUCCACACACGCCACCCCAAAAGUACUGAUGUCACCUGGCAUGAAGCAGAAGUGGCCUCUUCCAGCAUUAGGCAGCCAGAGACCUCUUGGGUGUUUCAUUUCACUUCAACACCAAUAAGAGGCAGGUCAUCAACAGCAAAGAUCACAAUGCGUGUUUCAUCUAAAACUCAUUAAUAAAGCACAGUUCCUCUGAUACUCUGCUGUUAUCAUCAUCAUCAUCAUCAUCAUCAUGGCUGGGCUUUGCGAACGAAGAUUUGGGGAGGGCUCUACCCACGUUCGUCACAAGCGCGCUGGUGGCUAAAAAGGCCAAUACGAGACAGGCAUGUCUGGUUGCAAAAGGCACAGCAGAAAGACUCCUUAGAUGGUAUAUUCUGCAAGGCACGAUUCUUUCUGCAUUGUCUUUUCUCCUCAAGAGUGAUCCUGCGUGCUUUCUCAAAAGCGUCAGCAGCAUUAUAGAUGGUGUGUCUCCAAACCUCCCGAUUGGAGGCCAGAGUAGACCAGUUAUGUUGAUCAAUAUGGCCAAGGCUGAGAUGUUGUUUCAGGGAGUCUUUGUAUCUUCUCUUCAGGGCUCCUCUCAUGUGGCAGCCGGUGGCAAGUUCACCAUAGAGCACAAUCUUAGGGAGGCAGUGAUCCUUCAUCCUGGAGACGUGCCCUGCCCAACGCAGCUGUGUUCUCAGCAACAUGGCCUCAAUACUUGUGACUGCUGCUUGUUCUAGACUCUGCUGUUAUAUGGAUUACUAAAACACACAUGAAGACAAUAUGGCAGUAGGAGACAAAGGAAAGGAUUCAUAUAUAUAAUCAGAAAGGAUAUCAAGAACAUUUCUCUUAACUUGCUCUCAGACUUCCGAAGCACUUAAUGGCUCCUGUCUGACAGACACUAACUUAGAAAUUACUGGCACAUAUCUGACACUUACGUAUAACAGGAUGAUAUUCUACCAAGGCAACUCUGUCAGCACAAAUAGCCGUAGCGGAAGAAAAAGCCUUCACAUUAACUUUACUAGUGGAUUAUUUGGCUAUUUAAAAUUGCCAUAUUCCAUCUUAGUAUGUUACCUUACUUAUGUAUUCUAACAUCAGCAAUGAAAAGAAGUAUUACCAUGUAGAAAAACAUCUCAGUUUAAGGUGUGUAAGGAAGUACUUAAUUUUGUGACCUGUGUGCUGCAAAGCAUGUGAAAAGGAAGUGAGUUGUUUGGAGCUGCUGCAUGGUUAAAAUAGCACCAGGAACUGCAAGUGCAUGUAUCAAAUGUGUCUGGGGCUAAUGGUUAUAAUUCCCUUAGAGCCCCAGUACUUUUGUAUCUUUCUAGCAUUGCCUUUCCACAACAGGUGUCUCUUUUUGAAGAGGUGCUUACCCGGCAUGUAACGCUGUCGGUCUUAUCACUAAGACUUGGUGUGUGGAGAAGGUAAAAAACUUUCAAACUUUAAGCUGAAUAGAAAGCAACUUAGAGAGCCCUGUAAAAAUUGUGCAUUUUAUGAACAAUGAAAUCCAGUGGAAAAGUCACUCAGUUCCUAAGUCACAUUUAAUAGUUCUGUUAAAUUAUGUCAGUGUGACAUAAUGACAAUUCAGGAAAUAUUUCAGAGCCUUUACAUCACAAAAAAAUGAAAUCAGAAAACUAUAAAUAUAUCCAUUUUUAUGAUGAUGAACAUAAUUGUACAACCCUGCACAUUAAUAGCUUCUCCAGUAUCAGUGGACUGUGAACAUCUGCUUAAUAAUCUUAAAAUAAUUCAAAUAGCCUCUCUGAGACACACCAUCCUCUUACUGUUGUGCAUUUUGUUUUGCUGCAGGAGUCAUGUGCCCACACAGAUACACACAGGAAGAUAAAAUUGUCAGGAAUAGGAUAAAUAAAUCAGACUUUCCUGCUUAAAUAAA